rnacentral:lncRNA from 1 species
AGUACAUGAGUCCUGAUGCGUGUCCACUACCCACUGGCCCCGUGCUGGGGCCCGGUGCCCAACCCACACAGAGACGCCUGGGGACAGCCACACUUUGGGGAGUUAGGGCCUGGGAGGAGCAGGGAGGCCUCCUCAGGUGGGCUUGGGAGCUGGCCCCGGGGAGGCCCGCAGGUGCUGCAGCCUGGAGGCAGAGAGCUGGGUGUGUCAGCACCUGAGAGGACCAUGGUGGGCAGCUCACCAGCAAAGGGAGCCGAAAGGGCCCCAGGGGCAGAGAGGGAAGAGGGCUGGGAUGCUCAGAGGGAAGAGCUAGCGAAGAAGCCUCAGAGGGAAGAGGUGGGCUGGGAUGCUGAGCAGUGGGGGAGGUGCAGCUGGAAAUGGGAAACGGAAGGGGGGUAUGGGGAAAAUUGGGCAGUGGAGGUCCUGUCCCAAGAAAGAGGCUGUCUGCAGGCGAUCUGCAGCCUCUUGUGGCCUAGUCCACCUCUACACCAGCAGUUACCUCCCUGCUCUGCAACCCCUGCCUCCCAGUACGGCCAGAUGCUGUCCCUCGUCCUCCCCGCAGCACUCUGAGGGCAGGAGAGUCGAUCAAGGGGCAGAGAAGAGAAACCCUAUCUCUGGAUACACAGUGGCCCAUGUCGCCGGCCCGGAGUGGGGUGUGCUAUUCUCCUAGCAUGAGCAGUUGUGGCAAGAGACACCCCACUUCCAGAUGACAGGGCUCUGCCUUGUCUGAGAUGCUCGCCAUAAAUCCCCGUGUGUGUCCCUCGCCCUGACACAUUUGAGGCCUGGAGGCCUGGCCUGGCCAUGCAGUAUGCAUGCCCCACCAUAGCUCCACCGCCACCAGGAAUUCAGGUGCUGCUGAAGCUGCACCAAGAAAGCCCCAGCCCAGUCGGCUCCUCUGGAUGAAUGAGAGUGAGCUCUUUUCUAAUUGUGAAGUACAUGACAGGUUGUAGCUGUGAAGACAUUGUUGGGUCACUCUGUGGAAGUCUGAGGUGACCCCUUCCAGGGUCAGCCCAUCUUUCUUCACCAUCUGGGUGGGUUGGUGAUGGAGCCACAACAGCAGCGAGCUUCACAUUGUCUCAAAAUAUCAUCCGUGUGAGGGAAGGAGGGACGGCUCCUCCUUGGGUGCCUCCCUCUCCUUAGGAGGAAAAUGCUUCUCAGAAGUGUCCGCUCAGGUCCUGUGGUCCAGAGCUUGUUCCAGGACAAUCUGUACACUUCCACUGGCAGGGGACAUGGGUGUCAUGACUGGCCACCUGCCCACAGGUGAGCCUGUGGUAUCAUGGAUGCCCCAGAAGACACGAGACUCCUGGG